UGUGCCAGCCGCCGCGGUAAUACGGAGGAUCCGAGCGUUAUCCGGAUUUAUUGGGUUUAAAGGGUGCGUAGGCGGAAUAAUAAGUCAGUUGUGAAAGUUUGCGGCUCAACCGUAAAAUUGCAGUUGAUACUGUUAUUCUUGAGUGUACAUAAGGUAGGCGGAAUUCGUGGUGUAGCGGUGAAAUGCUUAGAUAUCACGAAGAACUCCAAUUGCGAAGGCAGCUUACCGGGGUACAACUGACGCUGAGGCACGAAAGUGUGGGUAUCAAACAGGAUUAGAUACCCUGGUAGUCCACACAGUAAACGAUGAAUACUCGCUGUUUGCGAUAUACCGCAAGCGGCCAAGCGAAAGCAUUAAGUAUUCCACCUGGGGAGUACGCCGGCAACGGUGAAACUCAAAGGAAUUGACGGGGGCCCGCACAAGCGGAGGAACAUGUGGUUUAAUUCGAUGAUACGCGAGGAACCUUACCCAGGCUUAAAUUGCAGAUGAAUAUAGUGGAAACAUUAUAGCCAGCAAUGGCAUCUGUGAAGGUGCUGCAUGGUUGUCGUCAGCUCGUGCCGUGAGGUGUCGGCUUAAGUGCCAUAACGAGCGCAACCCUUAUUGAUAGUUACUAACAGGUUAAGCUGAGGACUCUAUCAAGACUGCCGUCGUAAGAUGCGAGGAAGGUGGGGAUGACGUCAAAUCAGCACGGCCCUUACGUCUGGGGCUACACACGUGUUACAAUGGGGGUACAGAAGGUCGCUACCUGGCAACAGGAUGCUAAUCCCAAAAACCUCUCACAGUUCGGAUUGGAGUCUGCAACUCGACUCCAUGAAGCUGGAUUCGCUAGUAAUCGCGCAUCAGCCACGGCGCGGUGAAUACGUUCCCGGGCCUUGUACACACCGCCCGUCAAGCCAUGGGAGCCGGGGGUACCUGAAGUACGUAACCGUAAGGAGCGUCCUAGGGUAAAACUGGUGACUGGGGCUA
rnacentral:rRNA from 1 species